rnacentral:rRNA from 1 species
UACGGAGGGUGCAAGCGUUAUCCGGAUUCACUGGGUUUAAAGGGUGCGUAGGUGGGUCUGUAAGUCCGUGGUGAAAUCUCCAAGCUUAACUUGGAAACUGCCAUGGAUACUAUAGGUCUUGAAUACCGUGGAGGUGAGCGGAAUAUGUCAUGUAGCGGUGAAAUGCUUAGAUAUGACAUAGAACACCAAUUGCGAAGGCAGCUCACUACACGAAUAUUGACACUGAGGCACGAAAGCGUGGGAGUCAAACG